GACGAACGCUGGCGGCGUGCUUAACACAUGCAAGUCGAACGGAAAGGCCCUGCUUUUGUGGGGUGCUCGAGUGGCGAACGGGUGAGUAACACGUGAGUAACCUGCCCUUGACUUUGGGAUAACUUCAGGAAACUGGGGCUAAUACCGGAUAGGAGCUCCUGCUGCAUGGUGGGGGUUGGAAAGUUUCGGCGGUUGGGGAUGGACUCGCGGCUUAUCAGCUUGAUGGUGGGGUAGUGGCUUACCAAGGCUUUGACGGGUAGCCGGCCUGAGAGGGUGACCGGCCACAUUGGGACUGAGAUACGGCCCAGACUCCUACGGGAGGCAGCAGUGGGGAAUAUUGCACAAUGGGCGGAAGCCUGAUGCAGCAACGCCGCGUGCGGGAUAACGGCCUUCGGGUUGUAAACCGCUUUCGCCUGUGACGAAGCGUGAGUGACGGUAAUGGGUAAAGAAGCACCGGCUAACUACGUG
rnacentral:rRNA from 1 species